AUUGAACGCUGGCGGCAGGCCUAACACAUGCAAGUCGAGCGGAGCGGCGGACGGGGGAGGAAGGCCAAGGACUGCGCCUGGUAGCGGGGGAGAAGGUCCGGAAACGGGCGCUAACACCGCAUACUCUCAGAUGAGUAUAGGUCGGAAUAGCUAGUUGGUGGGGUAAAGGCGUACCAAGGCGACGAUCCGUAACUGGUCUGAGAGGAUGAGCAGUCACACCGGAACUGAGACACGUUCCAGACUCCUACGGGAGGCAGCAGUGGGGAAUAUUGGGCAAUGGGCGAAAGCCUGAGCCAGCCAUGCCGCGUGUGUGAAGAAGGUCUUCGGAUUGUAAAGCACUUUAAGUUGGGAGGCGUUACCAACAGAAUAAGCACCGGCUAACUUCGUGCCAGCAGCCGCGGUAAUAC
rnacentral:rRNA from 1 species